GAUGAACGCUGGCGGUGUGCCUAAUACAUGCUAGUCGAGCGAAGCGGGGACGGGUGAGUAACACGUGGAUAACUUCCUAUCAGACUGGGAUAACUUCGGGAAACCGGCGCUAAACUGGAUACUUAUAGAUGGAUCCGCGCUGUAUUAGCUAGUUGGUAAGGUAACGGCUUACAAAGGCAACGAUGCAUAGCCGACCGGAGAGGGUGAUCGGCCACACAGGAUCUGAGACACGGUCCAGACUCCUACGGGAAGCAACAGUAGGGAUUAAUGCGCAAGGAGCGAAAGCCUGACGGAGAAUCGCCGCAUGAGUAAUGAAGGUCUUCGGAUCGUAAAACACUGUUAUUAGGGAAGCGGUAACUAAUCAAAAAGCCACAGCUAACUACGUACCAGCGACCGCGAUAAUAC
rnacentral:rRNA from 1 species